UGUCUUCAGGGCGGAGUGAAAUUCUCCACCGGUGGUAUAGUCCACGAGCCAAUUUUGGUUGAUCGGGUGCAAUUCCCGUACCGACGGUAUAGUCCGGAUGAAAGAAGAUG
rnacentral:ncRNA from 1 species